rnacentral:rRNA from 1 species
ACAUGCCUACAACAUAGUGUUAAUGCAUCGAAUGCCAUUAUAACUCCACAGUUAAGCACACUCAGGCUAGAGUAGUAUUGGGAUGGGUGAUUGCCCAGGAUGUUCUAGUGUUUUACAUGCC